CAGUCGCCGCGGUAAUACAGAGGGUGCGAGCGUUAAUCGGAUUUACUGGGCGUAAAGCGUGCGUAGGCGGCUUCUUAAGUCGGAUGUGAAAUCCCUGAGCUUAACUUAGGAAUUGCAUUCGAUACUGGGAAGCUAGAGUAUGGGAGAGGAUGGUAGAAUUCCAGGUGUAGCGGUGAAAUGCGUAGAGAUCUGGAGGAAUACCGAUGGAGAAGGCAGCCAUCUGGCCUAAUACUGACGCUGAGGUACGAAAGCAUGGGGAGCAAACAGGAUUAGAUACCCCGGUAGUCCCUGUCUCUUAUAC
rnacentral:rRNA from 1 species